rnacentral:misc_RNA from 1 species
GAUGAAGAACGUAGCGAAAUGCGAUAAUUAAUGUGAAUUGCAGAAUUCAGUGAAUCAUCGAGUCUUUGAACGCACAUUGCGCCCCCUGGUAUUCCGGGGGGCAUGCCUGUCCGAGCGUCAUUGCUGCCCUCAAGCCCGGCUUGUGUGUUGGGCCUUGCUCCCCCGGGGGCAGGCCCGAAAGGCAGUGGCGGCACCGCGUCCGAUCCUCGAGCGUAUGGGGCUUUGUCACCCGCUCUGUAGGCCCGGCCGGCGCUUGCCGACCCCAAUCAAUCUUUUUUCAGGUUGACCUCGGAUCAGGUAGGGAUACCCGCUGAACUUAAGCAUAUCAUAAGCGGAGGA